UACGUAGGUGGCAAGCGUUGUCCGGAUUUACUGGGCGUAAAGGAUGCGUAGGCGGACAUUUAAGUCAGAUGUGAAAUACCCGAGCUUAACUUGGGUGCUGCAUUUGAAACUGGGUGUCUAGAGUGCAGGAGAGGUAAGUGGAAUUCCUAGUGUAGCGGUGAAAUGCGUAGAGAUUAGGAAGAACACCAGUGGCGAAGGCGGCCUGCUGGGCUAUGGCUGACACUGAGGCGCGACAGCGUGGGGAGCAAACAGG
rnacentral:rRNA from 1 species